GACGAACGCUGGCGGCGUGCCUAAUACAUGCAAGUAGAACGCACAGUUUAUACCGUAGCUUGCUACACCAUAGACUGUGAGUUGCGAACGGGUGAGUAACGCGUAGGUAACCUGCCUGGUAGCGGGGGAUAACUAUUGGAAACGAUAGCUAAUACCGCAUAAUAUUGAUUAUUGCAUGAUAAUUGAUUGAAAGAUGCUAUUGCAUCACUACCAGAUGGACCUGCGUUGUAUUAGCUAGUAGGUGAGGUAACGGCUCACCUAGGCGACGAUACAUAGCCGACCUGAGAGGGUGAUCGGCCACACUGGGACUGAGACACGGCCCAGACUCCUACGGGAGGCAGCAGUAGGGAAUCUUCGGCAAUGGACGAAAGUCUGACCGAGCAACGCCGCGUGAGUGAAGAAGGUUUUCAGAUCGUAAAGCCCUGUUGUAAGAGAAGAACGGGUGUGAGAGUGGAAAGUUCACACUGUGACGGUAUCUUACCAGAAAGGGACGGCUAACUACGUG
rnacentral:rRNA from 1 species